AGAGCAAGGGCUGCUCUUCCAGAGG
rnacentral:piRNA from 1 species